rnacentral:rRNA from 1 species
UCAGGGGUGUGCAGAUGUGCGCCGGCCUUACGCCCCAUUCUUGUCUACCUUACUCGGUUGCCUCGGCGGGCCGCGCUCUCCUGGGAGAGUCGUCCGGCGAGCCUCUUUGGGGGCUUUAGCUGGAUCGCGCCCGCCGGAGGACAGACAUCAAAAAAUCUUGGAAAGCUGUCAGUCUGAGCGUUAGCAAGUAAAAUUAGUUAAAACUUUCAACAACGGAUCUCUUGGUUCCGGCAUCGAUGAAGAACGCAGCGAAAUGCGAUAAGUAAUGUGAAUUGCAGAAUUCCGUGAAUCAUCGAAUCUUUGAACGCACAUUGCGCCCUCUGGUAUUCCGGGGGGCAUGCCUGUUCGAGCGUCAUUUCAACCCCUCAAGCCCGGCUUGUGUGAUGGACGACCGUCCGACCUCCUCUUUCGGGGGCGGGACGCGCCCGAAAAGCAGUGGCCAGGCCGCGAUUCCGGCUUCCUGGGCGAAUGGGCAGUCAAACCAGCGCCCUCAGGACCGGCCGCUCUGGCCUUCCCCCAAAUCUCUCUGAGAUAUUUUUUCAGGUUGACCUC